rnacentral:tRNA from 1 species
GCAAUACUGGUGUAAAGGUAGCGCAUCUGAUUGCCAUUCAGAAAGUAGGAGUUCAAUUCUCCUGUAUUGCU